GUUGUGGGUCCUGGUGUUGGUUCUGGUCCAGUUGUUGGUUCUGGUCACGGUGUUGUGGGUUCUGGUGUCGGUUUUGGUCCAAUUGUUGGUUCUGGUCCUGGUGUUGGUUCUGGUCCCGGUGUCGGUUCUGGUCCCGGUGUUUUUCCCAGUCCUGGUGUCGGUUCUGGUCCUGGUGCCGGUCCCAGUAUUGCUGUCAGUCCCACACUUGGUUCCGGUUCUGGUGGUACUGCUGGUUCCGGUGUCGCUCCCGAUCCAAAUUUUAAUCCAGUCCAGGUUUUAUUCCCAACCCAACUCUUGCUCUCAACUCCAGUCCAGGUCCCAACUCCAGUCCAGGUCUCACCGUCAGCUCCAGUCCGGGUUUUAUUCCCACUCCACCUGUUGCUCCCAACUCCAGUCCGGGUUUUAUUCCCAGUCCGGGUUUUGCUUCCAACUCCAGUCCAGGUCUCACCCUCAGCUCCAGUCCGGGUUUUAUUCCCACUCCGGGUUUUAUUCCCACUCCAGUCCAGGUUCCAGCUCCAGUCCAGGUCUUACUGCCAGAUCCAGUCCGGGUUUUAUUCCCACUCCGGCUUUUAUUCCCACUCCAGCCCAGGUGUUUCAGUCCCAAUCCAGGUGCUGCUCUGAGUCCAGUCCGGGUUUUAUCCACAGCCCAGGUCUUACUGUCAGUCCCAGUCCAGUUGUUGCUUCCAACUCCAGUCCAGGUCUCACCAUCAGCUCCAGUCCGGGUUUUAUUCCCAGUCCUGGUUUUAUUCCCACUCCAGUCCAGUUCCCAACUCCAAUCCAGGUCUCACUGUCAGCUCCACUCCGGGUUUUAUUCCCAGUCCGGGUUUUAUUCCCACUCCACCUGUUGCUCUCAAUUCCAGUCCAGGUUUUAUUCCCAGUCCGGGUUUUAUCCACGGCCCAGGUC
rnacentral:lncRNA from 1 species